CAGCCGCCACGGGAAUACGUAGGGUGCGAGCGUUAAUCGGAAUUACUGGGCGUAAAGCGUGCGCAGGCGGUUUUGUAAGACAGGCGUGAAAUCCCCGGGCUCAACCUGGGAAUGGCGCUUGUGACUGCAAAGCUAGAGUGCGGCAGAGGGGGAUGGAAUUCCGCGUGUAGCAGUGAAAUGCGUAGAUAUGCGGAGGAACACCGAUGGCGAAGGCAAUCCCCUGGGCCUGCACUGACGCUCAUGCACGAAAGCGUGGGGAGCAAACAGGAUUAGAUACCCCUGUAGUCCCUGUCUCUUAUAC
rnacentral:rRNA from 1 species